GGGGGGGGCCUCGAGGGGGUCACUGGAGCCGCCUUCGCCCAGGUUCUGACGGUGGCGGCCACGGAGCCCCUCACCCUGCACCACUCCCCGCCCCUCCCCCCGCCUUUGGGGACCCCCCCGGACCCCCCCCGAAAUUCGGGGACCCCCCAAAUCGCCGAAACCCCCCAAAAUCCCCCAAAUCCGGGAGGUUUUGGGGUGGAUUUCCGGAGGGUUUACGAGUUCCUGGCCCGGCUCGGAGGGGGGGGGAACGGACCCCCCCUGAGCCCCCCAGAGGCCGCAGUGGUUGUGUCCUUACUGGGAGCCCUCCCUGCUGAACUGGGAGCACUGGAACAGCUCCGGGGCCUCCAGAGCCACUUCCGGGGGGUCUUCGGGGCCCUGACGACCCCCCAAAACCCGGGGGGGGCCCCCCCAGACCCCCCAAAACACCCCCGGGACCCCAAAACCCCCUGGGCGGGGGUGGGGCUGUGCCCCCUCAACCUCUUCCUGGUGCCACUGGGAGCACUGGGAGCACUGGGACGGGGGGCGUGAGGGGGGACCCCGAACUGGGGGGGACCCCAAAAAUUAGGGGGGACCCUAAACAUGAGGGAGAGACCCCAAAUAUUGAGGGGGGACCCCAAGUAUUGAGAGGGGGCCCAAAUAUUGGAGGGGGGACCCCAAAAAUGAGGAGAGACCCGAAAUAUUGAGGGGAGACCCCAAAUAUUGAGGGGGGGCCCCAAAAAUUGAGGGGAGACCCCAAAUGUUGGAGGAGACCCCAAAUAUUAAGGGGGGACCCCAAAUAUUGAAGGGGGGGGGCAAAUAUUGAGGGAGGGACCCCAAAUAUUGAGGAGGGGACCCCAAAUGUUGCGGG